rnacentral:rRNA from 1 species
CCUACGGGAGGCAGCAGUGGGGAAUAUUGGACAAUGGGGGGAACCCUGAUCCAGCGACGCCGCGUGAGUGAAGAAGUAUUUCGGUAUGUAAAGCUCUAUCAGCAGGGAAGAAAAUGACGGUACCUGACUAAGAAGCACCGGCUAACUACGUGCCAGCAGCCGCGGUAAUACGUAGGGGGCAAGCGUUAUCCGGAUUUACUGGGUGUAAAGGGAGCGUAGACGGUGCAGCAAGUCUGAUGUGAAAGGCCGGGGCCCAACCCCGGGACUGCAUUGGACACUGUUGAACUGGAGUACAGGAGAGGUAAGCGGAAUUCCUAGUGUAGCGGUGAAAUGCGUAGAUAUUAGGAGGAACACCAGUGGCGAAGGCGGCUUACUGGACUGUAACUGACGUUGAGGCUCGAAAGCGUGGGGAGCAAACAGGAUUAGAUACCCGAGUAGUC